CCUGUCGCUGUGCGCUGGUCUUUGGCGCGCGGCUCUGUCAGUCAGGUGCGCUGUAGGAGAAGAUUGGCCCCUGGCGAUGGGCUUGCUGCGCUUUUCCGCCUGAUUGGGGCACUGGCAGCUCCAUCUCCUGUCCUUGACCCUCACCUGUAAAGGCAGAGAGAUCUUUUCCAAAUAUCGGCUCUGGUUCCUCUCAGCUGUAUCUUAUCUAAGUGGAUGUGGACCAACAAGUAGGAGGAAAGUGGCUAGUCCAGGGGGGCUCAGAAUUUAUGCAAAGAACUUCCAUAUAUCAGAUUGCCCUUGUUUCUAGGUUGUCCUCUGGAGCUGUCUGUCCGUCAGAAGAAAUUUUUGAGACUUAUACUUUAAUUCUACACAUAUGAGUUUCCAGAACACUAAAAAUGAUUUUUAAGUAACAUAUG